rnacentral:rRNA from 1 species
AGUGAACGCUGGCGGUAGGCCUAACACAUGCAAGUCGAACGGCAGCACAGGAGAGCUUGCUCUCUGGGUGGCGAGUGGCGGACGGGUGAGGAAUACAUCGGAAUCUACUUUUUCGUGGGGGAUAACGUAGGGAAACUUACGCUAAUACCGCAUACGACCUACGGGUGAAAGCAGGGGACCUUCGGGCCUUGCGCGAUUGAAUGAGCCGAUGUCGGAUUAGCUAGUUGGCGGGGUAUAGGCCCACCAAGGCGACGAUCCGUAGCUGGUCUGAGAGGAUGAUCAGCCACACUGGAAAUGAGACACGGUCCAGACUCCUACGGGAGGCAGCAGUGGGGAAUAUUGGACAAUGGGCGCAAGCCUGAUCCAGCCAUACCGCGUGGGUGAAGAAGGCCUUCGGGUUGUAAAGCCCUUUUGUUGGGAAAGAAAUCCAGCUGGCUAAUACCCGGUUGGGAUGACGGUACCCAAAGAAUAAGCACCGGCUAACUUCGUGCCAGCAGCCGCAGUAA